rnacentral:piRNA from 1 species
UGCAAGGUGAUUACUUGAAACUCAACUUG